GUACUUACAGGACUGGAAAUUUUGAACAGCUGGGUUUGUUUGUCCAGAAUGUUCCAUGUUGUGACUUUGAAUCAAACACAAUCUUCAAAAACUUAUUAAGACCUUCGCCUGAUCUCAAUGCUGGGGGCAGUAUGAAGCUGAAAGGAUUUCCAGCUCUAAUGACUUUGCCAGAUUGCUAUUUGCUGGUGGAAAGAUGGCAGCCUGAUUCAGUUUUAUGGGGUAGAAAGGAAGAAAUCAAAGUAUGCGAAUGAUUAAAUUGGAAGUCAUUUCCGUUGGAUGGUAAGUCUGAAUCCU
rnacentral:lncRNA from 1 species